AUGAACGCUAGCGACAGGCCUAACACAUGCAAGUCGAGGGGCGAGCACAAGGAGCAAUCUGAGGUGGCGACCGGCGCACGGGUGAGUAACACGUAUGCAACCUGCCUGUAAGCGGGGAAUAACCCGUUGAAAGACGGACUAAUACCGCAUAAUACUAAAUUACUGCAUGGUAAUUUAUUUAAACAUUUAUGGCUUACAGAUGGGCAUGCGCAUGAUUAGCUAGUUGGAGAGGUAACGGCUCCCCAAGGCAACGAUCAUUAGGGGUUCUGAGAGGAAGGUCCCCCACACUGGUACUGAGACACGGACCAGACUCCUACGGGAGGCAGCAGUGAGGAAUAUUGGUCAAUGGACGAGAGUCUGAACCAGCCAAGUCGCGUGCAGGAAGAAUGUCCUAAUGGAUUGUAAACUGCUUUUGCAGGGGAAUAAAGUGCAUCACGUGUGAUGUUUUGUAUGUACUCUGCGAAUAAGGAUCGGCUAACUCCGUGCCAGCAGCCGC
rnacentral:rRNA from 1 species